GACGAACGCUGGCGGCGUGCUUAACACAUGCAAGUCGAACGCUGAAGCUCAGCUUUUGUUGGGUGGAUGAGUGGCGAACGGGUGAGUAACACGUGAGUAACCUGCCUCCUUCUUUGGGAUAACGCCCGGAAACGGGUGCUAAUACUGGAUAUUCACUGGUCUUCGCAUGGGGGUUGGUGGAAAGGGUUUUUCUGGUGGGGGAUGGGCUCGCGGCCUAUCAGCUUGUUGGUGGGGUGAUGGCCUACCAAGGCUUUGACGGGUAGCCGGCCUGAGAGGGUGACCGGGCACAUUGGGACUGAGAUACGGCCCAGACGCGUACGGGAGGCAGCAGUGGGGAAUAUUGCACAAUGGGCGCAAGCGUGAUGCAGCGACGCCGCGUGAGGGAUGGAGGCCGUCGGGUUGUGAACCUCUUUCGCUCAUGGUCAAGCCGCAACAAUGGUUGUGGUGAGGGUAGUGGGUAAAGAAGCGCCGGCUAACUACGUG
rnacentral:rRNA from 1 species